GAAUAUGGUUAGAAGGUGCCCUCAGAUGAAUGUUGGUAGCCCACGGCUCGUCUGACGCUUUUCCCUGGAUUUUUAAGCGGCGCGACAGUGAGACCAUGUUCCUUGUAAGGGAUUUAGGUCUGCACUGGACUUUACAUUAAAACAAAACAAAACAGUCAGCUCCCCGAGGUGCCUUUUCUUCAGAGAGUAGCUUGAAAUGCUCUGUGCAUCGUGCAUCAUUAGCUUUGUGUAAUAGCUUACUGCGGAAACGUAGUAAAAAUGAAACACUUGCCAAGAAAAUCAUCCACAGCGCCGCUUCUCAAGUUAGCCAGUUUCAAGUCCAUACUGUAUCCCAAUUACGAACACAGAUACUGUUUACACAGUUCUGAUCACGAUUGCAAGUCUGUAUUUCACGUAUCAACUUAAGUGCAAAAGAUUACAAGAUACAAAAGGGGCCCACAGAAGAGGGUACUGCAAGGUAGAGCCGCUCAAUCACUGUAGCCAAAUGUAUCACUCCACCCGGAGUCAGCUUCACUCAAUAACUUCAGUCCCUAUCUGCCAACCUGUGUCACGAAAGCAGUUAAUCAAUGAGUGUCUGUCGGCGGGAAUUUACACAGCACCUACUGUGUGCUCAAUACAGCAAGAGUACAAAAAA
ensembl:lncRNA novel transcript